rnacentral:tRNA from 1 species
UCCCUGGUGGCUCAGAUGGUAAAGAAUCUGUCUGCAGUGCAGGAGACCCAGGUUCCAUCCCUGGGUGGGGAA